UCCUUGAAGCCCAACUGACCCCUUGUCGGAAAUUUUCAAAUACUUACGCACACAGAACGAGAGAGAGAGAGAGAGAGAGAGAGAGAGAGAGACGAGGAUGGUGCUGUAUGAUAAGCUCACUAGGGUUAGGGUUGUUGCAAGAACGACACUAAUCGUGUUUAUACUGUUGGUGUUGAAUAGUGGACCAAAACAAGCCCUAGCCUCCAAUUCAGCAACAGCUUUCGUGCAGAACGUUAUCUACUCCAACAAGAUUGCCAUCUUCUCCAAAUCUUAUUGCCCGUAUUCCCUGCGAGCCAAACGUAUAUUCAGUGAACUAAAUGAGAAACCUUUUGUCGUGGAGCUUGAUCUGCGAGAUGAUGGGUAUAAAAUUCAGGAUGUCCUUCUAGAUCAGGUGGGCCGACACACUGUCCCGCAAGUUUUUGUUAAUGGUAAACAUGUUGGAGGCUCUGAUGAUCUCAAAACUGCUGUCCAGAAUGGUCAGUUGCAGAACCUUCUUAGCAAAAGUUGAUGAAAUACUGUAAUAUGAGAAAACUCUGGAAGUCAGCAUCUUAUAUUUUUCUACAACCAGCGAUAAAAAUUUGGAGCCUGAAGGAGUGUGUAUCAUAAAAUCAGCUUUUUUGAAGAGCUUUGAUUCUCAUCGGACGAAUGGGAUUGUGGGGUAGUGCUUCAUCAGGUUCGCUUUGAUCGUGUCUUAUUCCCACUUGAAUCUCUUGUUGUGAAUUGCGAUUGCUCCUUUAAAUUUGUUACUCUGUUGUGGCUAAUUUUCUGGCUUUUCCUUUUCUUCUUUUUGUCUGUUGAUGUUGCAUUGUUUGCUGUUGGGUCUUUGUGUGAUAUCUAGUCUUUGUAAGCUUUUGUGGUGGUCAGCUUCUUUAUUCGUUGGGGUUUCACCUA